UUUAGAACUUGAGAUAUGGGCUGAACAUUGAACAGUGUCUAAGCUACAGGAAAUAUUCUGACAUCUUCGUUGUUGUUAAGAUUUAGACUUCCAAAUAGCAGAAUUGAGUCUUGGACUCCCAUGAUGGAACCUGUAUAUCUAAA
rnacentral:pre_miRNA from 1 species